UUGUAAUACGAACCGGUGCUAAAGGGUCUCUGCCCGCACCUGUCAGUAGCCGUUGGGCAGGACCCUUUAGCACCGGUUCGUGUUACGAA
rfam:Sorghum bicolor cultivar BTx623 chromosome 3, whole genome shotgun sequence.